rnacentral:rRNA from 1 species
UACAGAGGGUGCGAGCGUUAAUCGGAAUUACUGGGCGUAAAGCGUGCGCAGGCGGUUUUGUAAGCCAGAUGUGAAAUCCCCGGGCUUAACCUGGGAAUGGCAUUUGGGACUGCAAGGCUGGAGUGCGGCAGAGGAGACUGGAAUUCCUGGUGUAGCAGUGAAAUGCGUAGAUAUCAGGAGGAACACCGAUGGCGAAGGCAGGUCUCUGGGCUGACACUGACGCUCAUGCACGAAAGCGUGGGGAGCAAA